GGGUGAUGAUCGUUGUUGGGUCGUCCAUUGACAUUUUUUACUGGCCACCACCCGAGCACCCGACCACAGGCACUAUGGUAGUGGUGGUGGCACCUACAGUUGCCAGUCACGGCCACAAGGCACCUCGGGCCAGGGUGAUGUACCCCAGCUGGCCAACUCACGCCAGGCAAAGCAGGGGUGGUGGAAUGUGUGCAUCAUGUUCAUGGCGGCUGCGGAGCGGGACUUGGCCAUGACGGGCGGCGGACACAACCUCUGGCCCACCUCGCUGCCACCCACCACCUGCGGCAGCUCCUGCAACACACCCUCCGCCACACUGAGCCAGCCAGGCCCUCCAGGCACAUUUCUGCGGCCUCCAGGGGCACGUGACGCCACACACGUCCCUCUGACACUGACCUGGGCUGGCUUAAGGUCUUGUAGGGUUCACUAGAGAUAUUCCAGGAUAAAACAAGGGGUGAGGGGGUGGGUUGUGUGUGUUGCGGGGACAGAGUGGUGGGUGCAGGGCGCAUGCGUGGAGCCGCGGCCACGGGAGUCGCCGUCUAGCCGCCGCCACACCGGACUGUGUGAUAUGUUGGUCGCACCCCCACCACACACCACAUCACCACUCCCCACGCCGCUCUUGUCACCACACAACGUCGCUCUCCGUGCUGGAACCACUGUUUUGUGCCUUGCAGUUCCGUGUAGUGCUUUAUUUGUGAUGAAAAUGACGGAUAUAUAGUGGCCCACCUGACGGCCCUUGUCAGCCAUGGCGGGUCGUAUUGUGAUCUGUAGCUACGGUGCUUUCCUCAUAACCAAUUUAUAAACUCAUUAAGUGGCUCGAUAUAUCUCAGUGGUGCUUACAUUAUAAUCUUGAUCAGUGCACGUCAAUAAUCUUGAUUUUAUUUCUUCUAUGGAGCGCUGCAUGAGGCCGCGCGUGUGGUCACGUCGGCGCAGCGGUGGUGACUGGUCGGGGCGGCGACAUGGACUGGCGGGACGGGGGAUUGUGGGUAACUGAGCGAGCCGGGGAGUCGCCGAGCCCGCACGAGCCCCGUGAUGUCAUCACUGCUGCCUGACCUGCGCUACCCUAUUGGCUCGCAGGCCGCCAGAAAGCGAUGGCGUCACCGUGUCGUCACUGAUACAUCACUUGCAGCAGGGCGGAGUGUGAUCGGGAGGCGGGUGUCAGUGCCGGCCCGGGCCGCUCCUCUGCUGCACAGCGGUGUGCACCGCGGCGCCGCACCCGGCCGGGCACGUGCGUCUGCCGCGCCUCCACCACACACCCUCACUUCACACUUGGGGUCACGCAGGACGACACUUUUCCGAGCUACUCAAUGGCGCUAAACUACACUUCAAACUAAAGGGGAAGAUCCUUUUCUCCCUUUUAAGGAUAAAGAGCGAUAUUUCAUGUAGUACAGUGUUGCUAAGGUCGAUAGUCGCGUGCUAUGGGGAGGAACAGCGGGGUGCGUGUCUGCGCUUCUCACGCCACACAGGCAGACACUCAGCAUCAUGCUCGUGUGUCAGCCGUGAAUAACAGUGGCCGGUUUUAUUUAAUGGGUAUUGCCACUGGUUUGUGUUUCCCAGCCACAUAGGCCCUGGGACACACACACGCCCACGCUAACGCGUCACGCUUUGCUACAUGAUAAGAAUAGUAUUACCUUAUCCGCACAGCAUCACACACACAUAUACACACCACGCGGAUGUGAGGGAUGGCCGCGCUGCCUGACUCCUCACAUCCAUUCCUCCCUCCCUCCCUCCUUGCCACUCGCCCUCUCCCUACUCUCCUCUUGGUCCAAAUCAAUCACCUGUGUCGCCAGCCAGCACAGGUGUGGGAUGGGACACACACACACACUAUAUAUAUAUAUAUAUAUAUAUAUAUAUAUAUAUAUAUAUAUAUAUAUAUAUAUAUAUAUAUAUAUAUAUACUUGAGGUAGGAGGGAAAAAAGGGACCCAUGUGGUGAAAUGGAAGCACGGCGUAAAAAAGAGAAUGAGCUCGUUAGUAGAAUGGCGAAUUAGAAUAACCGAGGAGAGGGCCAUGUUAUGUAUCCUUUUCUGCUAUAUGUAUGAUGACGUAGUUAAUUAGGUCAUUACUCUCUCUCUCUCUCUCUCUCUCUCUCUCUCUCUCUCUCUCUCUCUCUCUCUCUCUCUCUCUC